AACUUUAUAGUCAAUAAUGACGUUAGACUGCAAUUCUAAAGGGGUAAAUAAAAUAUUUAUUAAAGUUU
rnacentral:tRNA from 1 species